AAAGAUGAAGAAAGCACAGAAGAUACACAGGCUGCAGCAGAGGAAGAGGCAGAGGAGACAGGAACAGCAGAAGUAGCCAAAGCUGCAGAGGCAGAAGAGCCUCCUCCCCCCAGACCAAGGGAGCGCAAGCUUGCAAACCAGUUCAACUUCAUCAAGAGAGCUUCAAAGAUGCUCAACAACCCCUUGUGGGACAGAGUGUGUCAAUCGGAGCCUACACCUUGUAAAAAUUUUUCA